rnacentral:lncRNA from 1 species
GUCUUACAGUAAAUAUUGAGUCACUGUUCUUUAAAAAAAUGCAAUUGGCUCACUGUGCUUUUUAAAAAUUCUUAUUCAGGAUAUUCCAUCCAAUUUCUUGGACUAACGUCAAAUAUUUUCAGACGUGAAUUUAAAAAAAAAAGAAAAAAAAAGACACGUAAUUACAUAAAAUGAAUUAAAGAGAGAGGGAUGUAUAAAUAAUUUUUUUAAAAAUUCACAGAAAAGGUUAAGAAAGAGAGAUUGAGAGAGCAUAGACCGUAAGGGAGAAAUAAGCAAUGGUCGCAAAACCACCGGCUUUGUCACCGUUAUCGGCUUCUUCCAACUCAGCUCUGAAAAACUCCGAUGCCGAUCUCAAAAAACAGAUCUACUCUUCUCUCUUCCUUAUAACCUGUCAAGAAGAGUAAUUAUGCGUGAAUGUUUGUACGCAAAAUCAAAUCCAGUACACAAAAAUCAAUGGAUUCCCAAAAUGUGGGUCGUGAUUUUACAGAAGAGACUCCUCGAUCGACUCCCUCCUUCUCUGAUCUUUCCCUCCGAACAAAAAGUCUGGCGUAGUCGCUACAUGUUUACCGGAAUUCGCAAUCCGAUAUCUCCAUCCGGAUUUGUGCCCGCUUACCGGAAUCACGAUACAUCCGAUCAUACUCGAGCAUCAUAUGCUCUAGAUCUUUAUCAUUCGUAACGAAAAUCAAAAAGCCUCCAGGUCUUCAUUAGGCAACUGAUCUUCAACUGAUCUCUCCCUGACGAAAUACACCCUGAUCCAUCUUAGCAAUAGGGUUUUUGAUUUAAGAAUUUUAAGAGGAGGAAGAAGUACGUGACUGAUUUGAUCUUCACUCUUGUUUUAAUUUGUUUAGUUGUUAAUAGGUUUUAAUAGUAUGUUUUUUUUUAUAUUUAAGC